UCCUCCUCCUCCUCUUUCUCCUCCUCCUCCUCCUCUUUCUCCUCCUCCUCUUUCUCCUCCUCCUCCUCCUCUUUCUCCUCCUCCUCUUUCUCCUCCUCCUCCUCUCUCCUCCUCUUCUUUCUUCUCCUCCUCCUCUUUCUCCUCCUCCUUCUCCUCCUCCUCUUCUUCCUCCUCCUCUUCCUUCUCCUCCUCCUCUUCCUUCUCCUCCUCCUCCUCCUCUUCUUCUUCUUUUUCCUCUCAGAAAAAGAGAGUUUCCUCAUCUUUCUGGUAACUGAUCGUCCUGCGGCUAUGCUAUGUUCAGUAGCUUGGGGCAGUUUGCUUCUUGUUUCUCAACAGAGAAUCUUAUUGUGGGAACCAGAACAGGAGACAGGAAGCAGACUCACUUGAGAAAGAACUGCACCAGCUGUCCUACUCUCUGCAAAGUCCCUCAUUAUUCCCAAGUCACAUCCUAUUUCUCCCCUGGGACCACAUGUGGAUUGACCACUAAUGACUCAUGGUGCUAACCCCCUUUCCACCUCAAAAUCUAAAGUCAGUUUGGACUCCCAUCACAUCAGAUGGUUGAACUCUGUUAUUAUAGCUGCCUGUUGGUCCUCAUUAUAAUAUAUGAAGCAGGGAUUGCAAAAUGAAAGUCAGAGACUCAUUGGGUUUAGCAGCUGGGUUAGGAAUAAACCAAUUUAUACUUUCUUUUCGGGUACCUUGGCACCCGCUUCUCUGUGCUUAGUUUUCUUUGAGCACAUAUGGCUUUUGUAGCAACUUGGCCCUGUGAUUGCUGUGGCUACUCUCUCUAAUGUAUAACACUAUUGUUAAAUGUUAUACUUGACAAUAAGUAAGCUUCCCCAAAAUGUUUAAAUCUUCCGCUUCAGGCUCCAAAUAAGCAAGGCUGAUGGAAUAGUGGAAGACAUUUCAGAUAGAGGAUCUCAGGUGAGCUGUGGGAAUGUAGACAUAGCAAGAAAUAAUAUUUUAAAUAAAAUCAUUACCAAGAACAUUUGUAUACGAAGAAAAGCAAGAACGUGGACAUGGGACCUGCCUGCACCCAAUACAGACACAAACCAAACAAGCAAAUAGACCCCCAUAUAAAAACACAAGAUGUGGCCAGGAAAGGCCAGGUUCAGUGGUGGAUGAAUCUUUUUUCUACAAAGGUUUCCCCAACACGUAAACAGGGAAACACUUUCUUCCUCUUCUUCGCUUCCGUCUCAAAUGCUGGACAUUUUACAUGUGUAACCAUCAUUACAAGUACUCUCAAAGGAAAAGAAACAGAAACCAGGCAAAUCCUUGCAGGUAUCAAGGUGUUUCCUACUAAAUCAGUGCUGGCUUAGCAGGCCUAAAGACAGGCUCGCCGUGCUACACGUUCCCUGUUUCCUCAGACAACAACCUUGGAAAUGCAAGUUCAGCAGGCACCUGCUCUGCACACGAAUGAGGCAGGUGACCCAGUUGGACUUUGUGGCAAAUGCCUCUGGGCAGUGCCCAGGACUGAGCAGCACUGAGCAAACACAACAUAACUCAGUUUUCUCAGCUUAUAACGAAACUCUGACCAUUGCAAGCAGACAACACAGAAUAAAGAAUAGGGUAGGAUUCAUAUUGUGAGUAAAGGCAAUGAGCUAAUUUCUAUGGAUGGGGAUGUGGAUAUAUCCUAUCCCUUUGUGUGGGUUUGGGUUCUGGGUCAUUAUCAGGGUAACUAAGAGAUUAAAAAGAAAAGAAGAAAUAACAACAAUAAAAGGGGAAAAAGGGGUGUCAGAAGUUAGAGUUAAAAUUUACAUAGGAAGACUGCUGGUCUAUGUUGUAAAAUGAAACAGAUUUGUGAGCCAGAGGACCGAAGCCAAGUUGGUAGUCUACUUGCUGACUGCCUGUGGAUCUAUCUCACCAAAGUGCUUAACCUCGAUGAGCCUCGGUUUCUGUAGCUGCAAAGGGAAAUGAUGAUGUUGAAUUGUUGUAAAGAUCUUACACCAUUACAACUGCAUUACAACUUCAACUGCAGAGUCAAGCUCUCUAGCUGCAUGAAGGUCAGAGUGACGAGCAGACCUUGACACCUUGUGUCGCUUCAGCUUCUCCAUCUGCCUUUGAAUGUCCUGUUUGGGUUCUCCGACCUGAGUGCUUACUUAGUGUUGUAUUUUAGAAAGAAAGAAAGGAAGGAAGGAAGGAAGGAAGGAAGGAAGGAAGAGAAAAGAACCAAGGAUGUGUUUGACAGAGGUGAGGUAUGGUGAGGUGGAAGGGGUACCUGGUGAGCCCAUGCUGAGGCAUCCCUUCCCCCUGAGAGACCAGCCACUGUCAAACAGAGAGAGGGGGAGAGAGGGAGGGAGGGAAGGUUGGUCAAAAACACGUGGUAAGAGAUGGAGAGGGGAAUGGGAAGAAAGGAAAGGGGGCAGGGAGAGAAGGGACAGAGAAUAAGAAAGUAAGAGAGAGAGAGGAGGGGGCAAACAGCUCCUUUUAUACUAAGCCAGGCAUACCUGGCUGCUGCCAGGUAACUAUGGGGCAGAGCCUAGAAGGAAUGCUAACAUUUACUAUGUUUUUUUUUUUGUUGUUGUUGUUGUUGUUGUUUUUUUUUUACUAAUUUCACACCUUUAAAUCAUAUUGUUCCUUCCCCGACUUCAUAUUCUUUCUCUUAAACAAAACAAAACCCCAAAAUGAAAUAAAGCAAAAAGGACACACACACACACACACACAUGGAGUUUGAUAUUUUUUGUCCAACUGCUCCUGAGUAUAAGGCCUGCCCUGAAAUAGGGUUGGCAUAACUAAGGUAACUGCUAUGAUGAGGACUGGUUUUGCCUCCUCCUGCAGUUACCAACUGUUAGCAGCUUCUGGGUUAGGAGCUCGGUUUUGUACCUACUUCCCCUUCUCUGUGUGGGAUUUUGUCUGUCUUGAUCCUGGGCAGGCCUUGUGUAUGUUGUAACAGACUCUGUGAGACAAUGUGUUUAUCAGUCCUGUUGCAUUUGGAAGACGGUGUUUCCUUGUGGUCAUCCACCACCUCAGGCUCUUUCCACUUCCUCUCCACGUGGAUCUAGAGACUUGAGAGGAAGGGAAGCCCGUUUAGGGCUGAGUGUUCCAAGGUUUGUUGGCAUCUGACUUUAAGAAUAAGAAGUUAUUGAAAAACAUUUGAAAUUCACUUAUGUGAAAGAAAAAAAAUUAGUCAUAUCAGACCAAGACCCUACUUGGAGUUACCGCUCUAUGCCAAGGAAUCAAUUUGGUGCAAAGACAACCUCCCUGCCAUGAUGCAUGUUCACUGGACAGAAAGAGCUCUGGUGAGAUGGAGGGGACAAAUGAAAUCCUUUUAAUUGCUUCAUUGACAAGGGGAAACAGUGCUAAGCCAGGAAAGCAGCCAAAUGUGUGGGCCCUUAAUUCUUUGUGUGGGCUUUAAUUUCACUUCCUGCUAGAAGUUCACAUUAGCCUCUAUACAGUGGGCCCUGGGGUUAACAAAGGACAGGUCAUCUUAGUCCGGAGGCUGGUGGAACCCAAUAGAGGCUAUGGAGGCCAAUGUUGGGUCUCCCAAUUCCUGCUUGAGAGGAAUCCCAAGGAGGACCAGGUGUCACGCCAGGGGCCACUAGAUUUAGAGUAAGAUAGCUACAUAGUCAAUGCUGGGGGAGAACCAACUGGAUGGACAUGGCAGGCCCUGCGAAGCCAACAGACAAAACCAUAGGGUCCUUAUUAACUGAGUUAAGCCGUGCAGGUCCCAUGCUCCAAGGCCAAGGCCACUUGGGAUCAGGAUGGUCCCGGGUGCAAUUGAGUCCCUGUUAUUCUAGACUCCAUCUUGAAGAAAGGAAAAUGAGCAUUAAGGACAACAAUCCACCCCAAAGCUCACCCACAGAGUCCGGCAGGAACAACAGUUUAAGGGUGCUGUGCCUUGGGGGAGCCUCUUCCAUGCAGCCCAGCUGCUAAGCAAGGGAAGUCUCGUGCAAAGAGAUUAUCAUCUCUGCACAUCUGGAUUAUUCUAUGAGUCAGUGAAGGCCCAUUAUAUAAUGUUUCCUGAGCAAUACCAUCCAUUCAGCAUGUGAUGGAGAAAGUUUCCUGUCUGAGCACAUACUAGAGAGUAGACCGAAGGAAGAAUGCAGUGUGGUACAGUCAUCGCCUUUCAGGCCAUCGGAGUGUGGUGGGAGAGCCAUCUCAGGUGAUUUUUCAAGGCUCCUUACCCACCACUUGUGUCGACAAGGUGAGCACCUACCCAUCUUCCGGUUCUCAGUUACACCGGUGGAAUUCCCAUCCCCAACUGUUUGGUAUAAUGGGACUUUGAGCCUAGUAAUAAUUUUAUACCUUGCUAAGUAAGUAUUUGAUGAAUUCUCUUCUAGACUCUAAGAUAUUAGGCUAAGCAUAGUAUGAUUCCCCUCAUUCCCUUCCUUCCUUCCUUUUCUCUCUCCUCUGUCUUCCCCUCCCCUCCCUUCCCCUAUUCUCUCUUCUUUUUCCUCUUUUCCCUCUCCUCUCCCCUGUCUUUCCUUUUCUCUCUGUCCCCUUUCUCUCCUUCUCUCCCUCUCUCCUUGCAUCCUGGGCCCCACUGUCUUGCUCACAUUUUAUUUUCUGUACCUGUGCAGUAAAAGCCUGAGCACACGCCUCUCACGGUGUCGAGGACUGCCCCCACCCCCUGCCACAGCACAUGUUUCCAAGUUUUGAAAACCUUGCCAUGUACAUUAUCUGGCUGGCAAGCAAGCAGAAGGGCCCGAGAGAUCCCACCCUCAGGAUACAGCCCCAGCUGCUUUAAAUAGAAUCUGCUGUCAGAGGACAAUUGCUGAACCAGCUUUGGGGGCCAAGUUCCAGUGCAGGAUGUGAGCAAUGGGGCCCUGCGUGAUGUUUCCUGUGAAGCAUGCCCACGUGGAUUUUAUACAUCUCACACACAUAUAAUGUGUGUUAACACAUAGUGCAUGUAUAACACUUUAACCGUUUAUAUGUGUUUCACAAGACAGGAGUUAAGGAGGAAACUGGAAAAGUGCCAGUGAGGCCAUACAUUAGGAAUCUGUCAGUCAGAGAUGGUCAGGAAAUAAUAAGGAGCUCAAGUAAGUUAAUGAGGAGGGGUAACAGUCAGCACUAAAAUUGAUUAAAAAAAAUAAUAAUGGCUAGGGAGAAAAUGGGGGAGAAUUUUUUAAAGAAAAGUUGCCCACAAAAAAAGGUAACUGCAGAACAGCAAUCUUUUAGGAGGUUAAGCGAGGGAGGGGUGAGCCAUGCCUUCGUCACUCCCGUUAUUCUGAACUGUUUGAUUUGUGGGCAUAUUUAGGUUCCCGGUGAAAACACAAAACGGCACUCAGAGCAUUCUCCAGCCUUAUUUCAUCUUGACACUCGUCAUUAUCACUAAGGAGCCAGGGAUGUGGAAAGCCACUUAGGGACGUAAAGAUAGAGGUUUUAAAGUGGAAAAGAAUUAGGUCAGACGCCCGGCCCCCUCGCCUGCUUUUUCUCUGAACACUGGCCUUGCACAAUAUUAACUCUUUCUUUACUCCUCGGCAGGGACUCUACCACUGCUUGAGAGAAAGAGAGAGGGGAGUGGGGUGGAGGGAUUUCAGGGUAGCUACAGGUCUCCUGGCCUCGGCCAUUGGCCAUUUGUUUUCUCAUGGGGCUCUUCCUACACUCCCGCUCUCCCACAUCUCACCUCCCUCUCCUCCCACCACACCACUCUCUCACGCCAAGGUGACAUACUUUGAAGUCCUUUGUCGUAUCAAUAUUUUCUGUGUGCAGUAUAAUUUGUGUGUGGACUGGGGCUACAUGCACAAGAUUCUAAGUAUUCACAGGCAUGAACUCUCCUCUCUGCAGAUUUACCAUGCUUGUGUCUGACUCUCCAAGAUGCCGUGUAGUGCUCUGUAUAAUAUAUAGCAGACUGUCAAUACAUUUUAUCUCAACUGUUAAGACCACACUAUCUUAAACUACUUAGGGGCAUAUGUCUCCUGUUUUUCCUUCCCUUUCAGCAUGUCAUAGGAAUUAAAAAUACUGCACUGUUCCAUCCAGUAUAAACUUCGAAGGAUUUUAUAGAAAUUCAAAAUGCAUGCUACAUCCAAUUUAUGAGCUCAUUAACUUAGCAUGCACAGAGGAGACGGGGAAAGGAAACGAGCUGAAAUAGAAUGAAGCUUCCCCUGUCUGAUUUUCAUAAGAACUUUUCAAAAUUCAAAAUACAUAUCAUGUAUGAAAAUAUAUAAGAAUAUUAAAAUAUGUUCAUACAGUGUAUCUCACUCUGUCCUUCAACACUUUGUGUGGUGAACCCUUCGUCCUGCCUUAAGAAGACAAGCCAGAUAGGCAGUCAGUCUGUCACGGUCAGUUUGGUUGUACACUGAGCUUUUGCUUGGAUCUUGACAAAGGAAGACUUUUGACCCCAGAAAAGACACUUUACCCUUCUUGGUCUUGAUGUUCACAUUUGGAAAAAGGGACUGAGCCUGGACGAUGGCCAACAUUUUCUAGCUUUCCUUACUACCUGUCUCCUGGGACCUCUAAACUCAAGAGCCUAAACUCUCAGGGAAAAGGAUGUCCCAGUGGCCCAUAAGGAGCUUGGACACUGUUCUGGAGCCUGUAGACAACCAGGACCCUGAUUCCUAAGGAUGGAGGGACAAGGAGUGUCCUUCAUUGAGGAAAUGCCAAACAAGAAUCUUACACCGAGGUUCUUCCUGUAGGCUGCCCGAGGAAGGAAGGGGAGCCUCCUGUUGCCCCUCACCCUAGUGCAUUGUGCUGACUCUCACUGCCUAUCAGAACAUUGUCUUCAUUUCUCUGCAAUGGGCCAACUCGAGCUUAGAAGGCAACUAACUGGGCAGUUCGAUAGUAGAUGCAGGAGGAAACCAGGCUGGCUGCAGAGCUGACUUUUCCUUUCCUAGAACCACGAUUCCCAAAGCACCUCCAACCCACCCAGCUCAUGGAGAAGGUGCCCCAAGGGGUGUGGGAGAUCCUAACAUCUCAGUCUAUAUGGAAUUCUUUAUGCCUUUGGGCAUGAAGAAUGUUUUGACCCCUUGCACAUCAUCAGAAAGAGACCAUGACCUGCAAAUCUAAAGUUGCUAACCUUUCUUGUGAAGCUUAUGGACUCCUUUGCAUAUAAUAUGCAAAAAUGCAUAUUGUACUCAAAACUCAUGUAAGAUGCAAAAAUAUGCAUAGCAAAUGCAAAAAUCUAAGUAAGUGCACAGAGAUAAAAAGGCAUUGGUUACAUUAAAAUUGAAUUCUCAUUUUAAUAAAGUGAUGUGCAUUCUUCUUUAUUCUAAUCUGUAUUCUAAUCAAAGUAGGGAUUCAUGCAGAAGAUACGUUGAUUCUCUUUCCAGCAUCUUCAAUGUAACAGAAAAGGAUCUGUGAUCUCUAGAGUGACAAGUUCACAGUGACAGGCACUGCCACUGUGUUUGUUAUUUACUGCCUAGACAACUUAUCGACUGGUAUAAUCAAACAAUGGUGCAGUGCCUAUGUUCCGAGACUCCAAAGUGGCUUAGCUCUGAGUCACCUAUCAGAUUGCAGGCCAGCUAUGGGCCAGCACUAUUGUCAUUGAAAGGGUGGCAGAAAGGCUUCCAAAUCAUUCACGUGGCUAUUCACAGGACUCAGUGCCUCACUAGCUGUUGGCCAGAUGCCCAAGUUCCUUGUCACAUGUUAGACAUGGCCACUGACUUCCCUAUGUGAGUGAUGGGAAAAUAAAAGACUGAGACAGAAGCCACAGUUUCUCAUAUCUGAAUCUCAGGAGUAUCACUUCUCCAGUGUCCUAUUGGUCACAAUGUGAAGCAAGAGUUCACUGGAGUGUGAGCACCAGGCAGUCACUGGAGCCACCAGGACACGGACCACCAUGUCUGCAUUCAUAAUAGAAAGAUGCCUACAUUUCAGCAAAACUUCAUGAAAAUAAAAAUACGAUUUCUCCUCCAAGUCACAGACUCCAACUUAACGGUGCUAGAUAGGAGAGCAUUCAGGUUCUCAGACUGUUUCUAGCCUAUUUCCUCUCUGAUGCAAUCUUUCAGCAUUACUGAAGUCUAAACAAAAAAUUCACACAUUGAGAUAUAUAUAUUAUAUUGAUAUUGAUAUUUGAUAUGCUCAUUCAUGAUGAAAAGACCACCACAAGCAAGCUGAUUAGCACAUCCCCGUCAGAGGCCCCAAAGUUAUUAUUUUGAAACUUUACACCCUUUGAUCAGCAUCUCAGUCCCUUCUCCCUGGCCUCCGAUGACCUCCAUUGAACUGUCUAUGACUUUGGCUAUUUUAGAUUACACAUAUGAAUGAGACCAUGUAGCACUUGGCAACUUUGCUGUAUCCGUCUUAUUUCGCUUAGCACAGCUGGACUCAUCCAAUCAUCCUGAAUACUCUUAUCUUGAGACCUCAAAACUUCAGGUGAGGUUGUAUGGCUGAGGCAUUUGUACCACAAACAUCUCUCUUCCUGCACAAAAGGGUGAGCUUAUUUUUUGCACAGUGGACUGCUUCACUCUGGAACAAAGAUCAGAAAGGCUUCCUUUCUAUUAUAAGAAAUUAGAGUUCCCCCAAGUUUUGGGUUCCUCUCCUGUAAUAACUUCCCACGCAGGCACACGUCACCGGGGCCUCUUUCUGUCAUUCUAUGCUAUCAAUGCUCAGAAAAUGACUACAAAUGCUUAUGCUCUUACUUCUCCUGCUGCUGCUUUGAGCAAUAACCCUUUGUCUCUUCCUUUUGAUUUCUGGCUCCUGUUAGCAGCCAUGCAAUGGAGAAGCUUAACUUGCUAAUCCUCUUUUAUUCUCAGAGAAACAUCUCCAAUUACUCCAUCCAGGAAGCAAGACACUAUAAACAUGAGAUAAUUAUAGAAGAAAUGUAAGGUUGGAGAAAUUGAGAUGCUGAUGGCACAAAUGGAAAAGUCAUUAAAAAUGCCAGCAAACAUCACUGGAGAAAAUAUUGAAGAAAAUGAAAAUCAGAAACUCCAUAUAAUGAUCCAAAGUCUAAGUAAAGGGAGCUCCAGAAAUAGAAGAUUAAAAAAGGGAAAUCGAGGGGCCCAGUAGGGAAAGCCUGUUGGGCAGAAGUAGGCCCAGUAACAAGGGAUAGCAUCAGUACAUUUCAAAGCACUGGGAGGAGAGGAGGCUGAAUUUCACUGGCAGCUUCCAGAGAGUGCAACAGCUCCUGUGUAAAGGCUCAGUUAUGGGAAUUGCUUUAGAUCCCUAAACAUCUUCAGGGGAUGCUGAAGCAAUGGCAAAUUGCUCGUGAGAUAUCUUUUACCCAGCUAAACUGUCAAGUGAACAUGAAGCUAGAAUUAAAAACAGUUUCAAGUAGUCAAGGGCAGAAAGAGAAAACAUGAGGAGUACUUGGAAUUACAAUGAAGACAGUCUCAAGAUGGCAUUUAUACACAGGGACAAACAUGCAGUCUUGAGCUGAAGGUCAGAACACUUGACUUGGGCAAGACAUCUUAAAUUGCUACUGACAGAAUAGUCAAUAUAUUGACAAUGUUAACAGAGUAUUAGAACACUGGAGGCAUCUUUAGCUUGUGAGGGAGCCUCCAACACCUCUGAUUCCGGCUGUUCCCAGAUCUUGAGUGUACAAGGAAGGAGAUGUAAACUCUGUAACACUGUUCCAUGGUGUCUGUCUUCACAUGGUCAUGGUCAUAUAAACUCUGGAUGACAUAGUCUACAGUAUGGGAAAAUUACAUGGAGAUAAUGAGGGGGCAGGAAGCUUGUGUGUAAGAGAGAUGCUCCUCUGAAGGUGAGUAAGAGAGAUCUUGAAGCUUUGAGUUUGGGUGACCAUGAGAAAAGAAGAAGAAAUUUAAGUGCAUAACUCAGAAACAUGAAAGUAACUCUCCAAAGAGUUGAAGUCGGCGAAUGUGGUUGACUCCAAGAGCUACCAUGUGCUGUGCAUGCAGAUUUACUCUUGGCUUUGGAAAUUAGUCCAGUCUAUGUAUAAGUAAUGUGUGCAGAUGCAGUUUCCGUAAGACAACUGCCAAUGUUAACAAACAAACAAAAACUAAAAGACAACAGGCUGCCUAGAGAUGUUUCUUCCCCCUCCUCUUGUCACUGUGGUGGGCAGAUGCUUAACUGCAGGGGGAGCGGGAGGUGAGCUGUAGGGAGUCUGGUGGGUCUAAGGACAGCUUCUGUGCAGUCUCAGGCAGCAUCGGUAGCCAAACAAAUUCCUCAUUCCUUAGAGAAGACUCCUCAAAGAGGAGCUGUGGCCAUGAAUACAGCUUUCAGGACAUUCACCUUCCAACAAGGUCCCCCAAGAAAGGACAGAGAGAGCACAGAGACAGGCUUUGUCUGGGUAAAGAGCAGUUCAUUGACAGAAUUUGCCCUGUGAUUGACUUCUGGGUGCCUUAGGUCCUGAGAUCCUGGGAAAGAAAAAAAAAAUACUCCUUUUUGUUGUCGUUUUCUUCUUUAAUAAUUCAAACUCAGGAUAUUUAAAACCAGGCCAUGGAUGUCUGGGUCUAAUAAUCAGUGCCAUGGGGAAUAUGGAGAUGAAUUAUCAGAAAGCAAGUUUGCUUGUGGUUUAUGCCCCUCAUAGCACAUACUACAAGACUCAACCUCAAAGGCUCAUGCUAAGGUGGAAGUGAAAGACCCCCGGAACGGGGAGACCCUCACUCAAGUCUCCGGAUGAUGCGACCCCCCAAGAACUCACGUGAGACCGUCCUUGCUGUAAUAAACAUGAGGUUUAUUGAUAGGAACCAGUCCACUGGGCUCGAGACUCGUAUCCCACGCAGGGGCAGUGGAGCUCGACCCUCAGUAACUAAGACAAGGGGAAUUUAAAGGAAGAAACCUCAACCCAAGCGGGUAGGGAGGGCAUCAUUGAAAAAUGUCGAGAAUACCAGUGAAUCACAAGGAGGAGCUUCCUGUUUCUCAAGAUUGUUUACUUUAUGGCCCAUCAGUUCCUGGGAGAAGCUUCCUGCUUCUCAAGAUUAUUCUCUAAGAUUUCAAUCUAACUUUAUGGUCAGCUAGUACAGGUAGAGGGCAGGGUCUGGAAUUUGAGGUAUUUAGGGCUUUUUUAAACUUCUGACUUCUUAGCUGCAUUGUUUAUUCUUUCAGAAGGAGAGGCAAUGAGAGGUUUCCACAGGCAAAAAUGGUGGGCAAGAACAUUCCAGGCAGAGAGAGAGAGAGAGAGAGAGAGAGAGAGAGAGAGAGAGCCUGAACAAAGAUAAAGGAAUUUUAAGUGACAAAAUUCAACUCAGAGGACAGCUGUGUGCUUUUAUCAACCUCAGCCUCACAUGGUACUGAAGGCCAAGUUGUCUCCAUCAUAAAGUCCCCAGGAUCACAAAUUACUCUAUAGCAGGACCAAGAUUUAGACCCCAUGUCAGCCAAUAGCAAAAUUGGUAUGUUCCUGCCAUCCGGUGCAGCCUCUCAUGAAGACAUAACAAAGUCCAAGGUCAAUGAGGAACUAAUUUUGGCUUCCUUUCCAAGCCACAUAGAGUACUAGUAAUUUAUAUUGAAGUUAAUUUCCAGCAAACUUUGGUAAAGGAAGGGGAAAGUAAGGGAGGAGGAAUUUCCUUACUGAGCAGUCUGACAGUGUAGAUAACUGGAGCUUCUGCAGGGGAACUCUAGGAUCCAGUGUAGAACUUGAAUCUCAGAAUUAUCCCUCCCAAGCGAUGAGAAAGCUAGAUUAACAGUUUGCGACCAUCGAUUGAAAUGAUAUUGGCAGAGGAGGAACACGUUCCUACCCCUUUAACAAAGCUAAGAAAACACCCAGGCAAAGAAAUGCUUGCGCUAGAAGCUGGUUAGACACUAGGUACACGAAGUAUGGGGAAGUGGAGGAAAUGUGGCCAUUCAGACAGUGGAAGAUCCCCAAAGGCAAGGACACUGCUCAAUGUACUCCCGGUUUUCCAACACUACAGACAUAAUAAAUGCUUAAGGAAGAAACAAACAGGGAAAGGCAGGAGGGUGCAAUAGAGGGAGGCAGAGUGGAGUCACUGCACCAUAUCUCUAAGACAGGAAGGAUGAUGUAAGGAGGUGUCUUAUUGAGUCGGAUACCAAGAGAUUUGGAAGGUUUCAGAGCUGGAAAUGACUCGAUGAGAGCAGAGACUUAGGAACAUCAACCCCGUGAGGACAGAGCAAUGAGUAGAAGAUUCCCAGAAGAUUCCCAUAGACAAAGACCGUGUCUGAGUUAUCUCAGUUGCUCAUGAAGAACAACAGCUGCUCACUCUCCCCAGCUGACUCUAAGGUACAGCUGAGAGAGAGAGCUGCUUCUGCCUGGGCACACCCUCAACGGUCAGAGGUCACCCUACACAGAACACAGAACGCAGAACAUCCUUGAUAAAGGAUCAGAGUGCCAGAUUUCCUAUUGUGGCUAGCCAUGUGAUCUUUGAGAGUCAUUUAACCUCUGUAAGCAUUAGUUUCCCCGGAUGUAAGACAGGUAUAAUAAUAAUACGUCUCUCAGUAUGAGAGGCAAAUGAGAUUGUGUGGUCUCUAGAACAGUACCUUGCGUUACGUGCUCACAGCACGUGUUAAUCCAGCCAGGAGAGAACAAGACCACAAUUUCUGAGCCAAAUUUGAAGCAAGUUUUAUUAGCUACUGGCCAGGAAGAUGGACAUUGGCCAGAUCCAUACCCAGGAUUCCCAGCAUCAGGGGGUAUAAAGGCACAAGUACUUCCCACCUCUGUCCAAUCAGGAGCAAGCAAACAUCCUGACGUACUUCCUGCCUUCGUACUUCCCACCUAUGUGUGAUCAAGCCUGCCUGUGCAGCCGGGGAAACCAAGCUUUUUUACAGAAGUGAAAACGUGGGACUUGGAAGCCAAAACACAUGACGUGUUAUCUUGCAUAACCAACAGCCCCCAGCGUUCCAGGAAGUUAUCUGUCCUUGGGCGAGUAGGCAUAUAGGUUAGAGGCAGCUUGAUUGAUUUCUUAAGCACAGUAACGUGCUUAACUUAAAACAUAAAUUUAGCCAUCGCGCAUGUCAGCCGUUUCAUUCGUUAACGAAAGGUUUUUUGAUGGUCAUAAGGAAAAUUUGAAUACUCUGAAAGUACAGGCAAAUGAAAAUAUCAGUCAUUUAAGAAGUGUAAACAAUGGUCAAUAUAAAAAUAAAACAAAACAAACAAAAACCCCCACAAAGUUAUAAAGGAGCGUCCAGCCUCCGUAAAAUUCAAGAUUGCAAAUCAGAACUACUCCUUAAGUUUGCUGUUAAACCAGCACAAAUUAAAUUGGAAGGCUACAGUAAAACCCCAAUGUAAUACGAUAAGUAAAUCAGAAAACUGCAACAGAAGACGAUAGCGAAGGCCGCGUGACUGUCCUGACCAUGAAUCGAUCCCUGACAACACGCUGCAGAAGACGUAUUCCAAGCCGCCAUUGCUGCCUAAUAUUUGUUACUCUAUAAUUGGGAUACAUGCAGACUCACACAGGUUACUGCUGACUAUUAAGUGACUGUCAAAAGU